rnacentral:rRNA from 1 species
CGUACACUCCUGCGGGAGGCAGCAGUGGGGAAUAUUGGACAAUGGGCGCAAGCCUGAUCCAGCCAUGCCGCGUGAGUGAUGAAGGCCCUAGGGUUGUAAAGCUCUUUCACCGGUGAAGAUAAUGACGGUAACCGGAGAAGAAGCCCCGGCUAACUUCGUGCCAGCAGCCGCGGUAAUACGAAGGGGGCUAGCGUUGUUCGGAUUUACUGGGCGUAAAGCGCACGUAGGCGGACUAUUAAGUCAGGGGUGAAAUCCCGGGGCUCAACCCCGGAACUGCCUUUGAUACUGGUAGUCUUGAGUUCGAGAGAGGUGAGUGGAAUUCCGAGUGUAGAGGUGAAAUUCGUAGAUAUUCGGAGGAACACCAGUGGCGAAGGCGGCUCACUGGCGCGAUACUGACGCUGAGGUGCGAAAGCGUGGGGAGCAAACAGGAUUAGAUACCCCAGUAGUCCCAUGA